AAAUUUUAAUUUUAAUUGUACUGGAUUAACUUUUACAGUUAUUGAUAUGAUAAAUUUUGAUAAUGUUAAUAACGUUUAAUUUUAAUUUUGAUGAUUUUUCGAAAUAUUCCAUUUAAAAACCGGUAGCUAAAGUAAAACUAGAUACUAAGAUUCCCAUAACAAACGAUACGUCAACAUAUUGUCUCAUAUUACAUGAUAAUGUCUAGUGCGGUGCACAAGGUGGUUUAAUUUAUGAAACUUAAAAUCAACACUUUUAUAAUAAUAAUUUUAAUUUUAUUAUUUGUGAACAUUUACAAUUGUAUAACAUUAUAUUAUUUUUACAUUUAUUUAAAUAAUAAUAAGUUUUUGUUUUUAUUAGCUUUUAUUAUGAAAAUAUCAUAGCUCGACAAUUACAUACGAAUUAGAUAACAUAGUAUUAAUUAGCGUUAUGAAUUGGUGUUAAUUUGUAUAACAAAAGUAAAGUAUGUACAAUAAAUCAUAAUAUAUAAUAAAGUAGUUAAAUAGUACAACCAGUGCUCAAUAUAAAAGAAAUGAUGGCAAUAAUAACGGGAAUAAAAUGGGAAUUUAGUACAACAGAGGGUACAAAAUUGUAAUUUCUAUUGGAUUUUAAAAAUGUUAAAAGUAGGCACCUAUUAGACGCCAAGGAGGAGCAAUUUAAUAAAUAGCGAGGAAAAUCUCCGAGGAUUUCAUUCUUAUAUGAAUGGCAAAAGGGAACCGAGUUCAGAUUUAAUUUGUAGGCGAAUGUUGGUAAAAGGUUAUGACCCAGUCUGAGUCGUGAAAUGCUAUAAAAUAUAUUGUGAGUGAGAUCUAGUUAAUGGAACUACGGAAUUUUGGAACGGGUAGGUACGAUGUGCCUAUGCCAUCGGUCAAAGAUGUUAGGGAGAAAAGACCACUUGGUGAGCUAUGCUUCCAUUAGCUUAGAUCUAAAAUAAUUAAGAAAAUCAAAAUAAGGAAGAAGAAAGGAAGGAUAACAUAAGAAUGAUGAUUCACAUUUAGCCAAUGAAUCAGCGAACUCGUUACCACGGAUCCCGACAUAUCUAGGGAUUCAAUGGAAUUGAACUUAACCAGACGUUAAAAUUUUGUGGAGGAGUGCUCUAAUUGAAAGGAUCAUAGGAAAAGUUUGAGAAUCAAAAGGGUUAUAAUUAAUAGCCAGAUGACAAGCCUGCGAAUCUGAGAAGAUGAGAAAAGAAGUAUCUAAAGAAACAAAAACCUAGAGAAGUUCAUUGACAAUAGCAAUGCAUUCGGGACUAAAGGAGGAAGAAAAAGAAUGCAGGUUGGUAGAAAAGGAGAUAUUAAGGAAUAAUGAGGGAGACCCAUCAGUAAAAAAUAGACGACAGUUGGGAAAGUUUGAAGAAAUAUAGUGAGAGAAUAAAUUAUUAAUAAUGGUCAAAAGAAGGGAUUGGAGGUUAGAAUGUGAGAACCCUAGGAAAUUAGUUAGUACAUGAAGAUUAGGAGUGAUGAUUAUGGCUUUGUAAGGGCAGUCACAAAUAGGAAGACGACUAUAGGACUUCUGUGUAUGAUUAGUGAGAGGAAAAAAUGAAGAACAUAUAGAAACAAGGAUAAGGAAGAGAUUUGGGGACAUAACGCCAGAGUUGGCGAACAGUUUUAUAAAGAUUGAAUAAUGAGAAUUUGGGGCAGGAAAUAGAUUUUAGGAGUAAUUUGCACGCUUAUCGAAGUCUUCUAAUUUCGAUAGGAGGACAACAGCAUUCAAUUUCAAGGCUGGGAACAGAAAUAGAAGGAGGAGCGCCUAAAUUGAGCGAAAGCAAGAAGCCAUUACUGAAUUAAGCUUAUUACGGUGACAUAAGGAUGCAGAAGAGAAGAGAAAGGAAACGUAGUCAAUCUUGGCACGAAUAAUAGAGUUAAAAAUUAAUAAAAGGGAAGAGGAAUGAAAUUCCCAAGAUGUCCCGAUAAUACAACGGAGAAAAUUAGACCAGUGUGAUGCAAAGGAAAAAAGGAACCUUUCUUAACUUAGUGUCGUUAAGUCCUAAGUCUACUUAAGUUAAGUCCUAAUUCUUUUCUGCCUUGUUCAAUAUGCGAGAAAUAUACGAUAUCAGUAAGUCAGACCCAAUCUUCAUUUGCGAUAGUAUAGCUUCAAUGGCUGAGUUGCAAGCGUCUGUUACAUUAAACGGAUGUGAAAAAUCCGGAUAUUGCGUCUUGUGCCGCCACUUUAUGCUGAUACUUCCGAACAUAAAAUUGCUACACUAAACAAAUUAUUUGCAAAAAAAUAUUUUAAGCCCUUUCAAAAUAUUAUGAUUUUUGAAGAAAACCAUAAAAGAAUAGAUGCACAUGAAUUGUUUCAGACAAAAGUGAACUCCACAAACUUAAGUAAAAUAGAAAAGUAUUUUAAUCAAUUACUGAGAUGCAGGUAUACUGAAAUACUCAAAAACUAUGAAGUUAUCUUGUUAACCCUAAUCAGCUCAUGUAGAAAUGAAGAAUCAAAGGGUACUAUUAAUAAGCCUGUAGAAUGCAUAAAUAAAAUGCGCGAUUCAAUAUCGUUGUCUAUUGAUAUGCUAAAAUCUUUAUUAUCUGCUAUGGCUACACUAAAAAAAUUAUCUAUUUGGAAGUAUCCCAAUCAAGGCAAUAAACAUCUGGCGAAAUUAGCCAGUAUAAUAACGAGAUUUGUAAAUGAUAUAAAAGCUCUGAAUAAUGGUUCGUAUAAAUAUACAAAAACGAUGAAUGAAGUAGAAGCAAAGGCGUAUCUUGAUCGAAUAUACAUGUCCCAUUGCGAUCUAUAUAAAGGAUUAAGUAAUGAAAUGCUUUAUAACUCAAAAAAACAUUGCUUAUUUUUAAAGAAUAUUAGACAUGCAAAUAAAUUAAAAAGUUUUUUUUAUAAAAAGAAGCAUGAUGGUCCAGUUUAUGAAAUUAUUUGCAAAUAUAUGAAAUCAUUUUGUGGUAAAAUUAUCAAAAUUGAUUACGAAUAUUUAAAUUUUAAGGAAUUAACAUAAUUUUUUAUAUAUACCAAUUUCUAUUUGUUGUAAUUUCUUUCAUAAUUUUUAACGUGUAUUUCUGUGUUAAUAUAUGUUAUGGUUGGGGGAACGGGUACAAUUGUAAGACGGUCAAUAUUUACCUUUAUGACAUGUAUAAAAACACAAUAAUUACUUUAUUAUUAUUAUUGUUA